GCACGUGUGAGGUGACAAUAGCACUGUCCUUUUCAGACGACUGUACAGGCUACAUUUUGUUUAGCAACAGUGUCACAGCCUGGCAGACUCUGGAAACUGUGCCUAAACAUUUAGGGCUUAUUUAUCAAUAAAAAAAAACUGCUACCAAGGAGGUGGGACUUAUACAUUUGGAGGAAGGGUUAAGAUCUUAUCAAAAUCUCAUCCUAUGAUGCUUAAAAGGUGAGAUCAAGGAAGAAUUACAAACUACAGAACCUGAAGUCCGAACACACAAGUUGAACAAGAAGUGGAGAGAAGAACGUUGCUCUGCUGAAAAUGAGAAACCUGCUGUAUUUGAUCCUCUUUCACUGUAUCUGUCAAUCCAGCACACUGGAGAAUGAUAUUGAAGAUUUUCUGGACACAACUGAUGAAGAAGUAGACAUAGAACCACUGAAAGUGAUCUCCGAGGCAAAAGCCGGAAGUGCAUCUGCUUGCGGUUGCUGGGGUGGCUUUCGUGUGGCAUUUGAUGUACAAAGCUCCACAAUGAAUCAUAUGGUGAUACCCGGAAGAUCCAUAGUUUUUAAUAAGAUCAAUCUCAACCUGGGCAGGGCAUACAACAGGCAUUCUGGGAUGUUUGUGACUCCCAGAUCUGGCAUAUAUUUCUUCAGUUAUUCUUCGCUGCCAUUCAGAGGGCUGCAUACUGAUGUGGUCCUGGUGAAGAAUGGACUGAAAAUCAGUAAGAUCCACAGUGUGCUUUCAAGAAAUGCCAGCCAGCUUGCUAGCAAGAAUGCAAUAUUGCAACUCAGAAAAGGAGAUCAUGUGUGGGUCCAUCUUGAAAACGGGAAACUCUGGAGCAGAGAUGGAUCAGUUAGUUUUCAGGGAUUCCUACUGACUCCCUUUUACUAAGUAGCCAGCUGAAAAUGUCAGGGCCAUUCUUAUUGCUGCAGCACAAGAGCUUGAUGGAGUAGAAGGCAACAUAUCAAGCAAGCCAUUGAAUAUUAUUUCUGUAGUCAGAAAAUAGCAAGCCUAAUUUUACAUGCAAGGAAUUUGUCUCACCACACUGAAAAGAAAAUGGGCUGUCCCUGGCAAUCACAGGUGAUUUCAAGUGAAGUCGUGCUUUAAAAAUGCUUAAUAAUUUGUGCUUUUGCAGUAUGUGCUUGAAACAUUGAUUUAGUUCACAGAUAGUGGCUGAGUUCGAGGCAAAACAAGAAGCUAGUUAAACAGAAUAACCAAAAGGGGGAAACAAAGGCACAAAGCACUGAAGACUGUGAGUGGAAGUUAAAUUAAGACCUGCUCAGCCGAGAUACAAAAUAAUUCCAUCUUCAAAGAUACAAAAAUGAUGCACACAAACUGUAUUUUUAACAAUGUAAUCAGUAGCUUUCGCUGUUUGCAAAUUCAUCAAUAAAAACCAAAGCACUGGCACUGGAGUUUGCGUACAAUUUUCACAAAACAAAUAAUGACUUCUGAUUUUAACUAAAAUGUCACCAAAAUAAUGGAAGGUUAUAAAUAUUGCAAUUAGCUUUAAGAACUCCAUCUUAAACCAAUGAUUUGAGGAUGGGAGGUAAUGAUAGGAUCGGACCAUGAUUAGAAACUUUUUCCAUGGACUGAGCCAUACCCCAUCAGAGAGUAAGCAGCCACUGAGGAGUGACAGGAAGGCAAGUUGGGGGUGGGGGAUGUGAGGAGAGUCUGGAGGCAGAGUUGGAGAAAAAGUUGGAAUGGGAAAUCUAUGGAGGAUGGGGUGGGAAGAAAGUUGGAAUGGGAAACCUUUGGAGGAUGGGGAGGGUAGAAAAGAGAGAAGAGAGAGAGAGAGAGAGAGAGAGAGAGAGAGAGAGGGAUUUUGACCUUAAUCCAAUCAAAUAUGGCAAGACCUCAAGAUUGCUGUCCAUCAUCACUCCCCAAGUACUUAAAGCAAUUUUACACAGAGGAAUGGGUAAAUUUUGCUCCUUCAUGUUGCGCAAAGCUUAUCCAAAAAGACUGCUGGCUGCAAUCGCCGCGAGGGGUAAUUCAACCAAGUAGUGAGCAAAGGGGGAUGAAUACUUUUGAACUGCUAUCAUUUCGGUUUUUGAUUUUUUAGAUUUUCAUGCUUUACAAUUAUGGGUUUUUUUUUGGUCUACCGUGAAAAAAGAAGCAUGUGAUUCACGAAUAAAAUUCUCAGUUAAAUUGAUCAAAACCCCUGCUUGUAACACUCAUUUAUGUGAUCAAACGGUUAGGGGCUGAUUGCUUUUACAAGGCACUUUGUAGUAGUUAUCUAAAUGCAAUGUGAUUCCAAAAGAUGUCAUAGAAGACAAACAUGAGAUGAACAGAAUGGAUUGUUCUAGUCAACAAUGGAGGAACUCAGCAGGCCAGGCAGCAUCUAGGGAAAGUUGAUUAGUGAAAGAGAUACAGAGCUGGAGAAGGGGAAAUCUAAUAGGAGAGGACAGAAGACCAUGGAAGAAAGAAAAGGGGGCAGUGCACCAGAGCAAAGUGAGGGGCAGGUAAGGAGAAAAGGUGAGAAGGAAAAGGGAAUGGUGAAGUGGGGGGGGUGGAAUUACUGGAAGUUAGAGAAAUCAAUGUUCACUUCCCCUUCUCCAGCCCUGUAUCUCUUUCACCAAUCAACUUCCCAGCUCUUUACUUCAACCCUCCCCAACCCACUCCCCGGUUUCAUCUGCCACCUUGUGGGUCUUCCUCCCCUCCCCCACCUGCUAGCUCUGACUCCUCGUCUUUUUUUUCCUUCAGUCCUGAUAAAAGAUCUCAGCCCGAAACAUUGACUAUACUCUUUUCCAUAGAUGCUGCCUGGCCCGCUGAGUUCCUCCAGCAUUUUGCGCGUGUUACUUGGAUUUCCAGCAUCUGCAGAUUUUCUCUUGUUUGGAUUGUUCCAGUGACAAUGAAUGAGACAGUAAUUCCAUUCAAGCUUGACAGCAGAGCCCAGGUGAAUCAGUUGGCCAUGGAAGAUGACAGGAUUCUCAAGGUUAAGAGCAAGAUUUACCAAUGCUGUUUGUCUUUAUCGAGAACAAACAUAACAAGGAUAACUAAGCACAUCUUUCCCUCCAUCCUACUUUUCACAUUCCACAGGGUUCGCUCCCUACAUGACUCCCUUGCCCGCUCGUUCCCCCCACCGCCCCCCCCGAUCUUCCUCCUGGUGUUUAUCCUUGCAAGCAGAACAAGUGCCACACCGCCCCUACACCUCCUCCCUCACUACCAUUCAGGGCCAUAAACAGUCCUUCCAGGUGAAGCAACACUUCUCCUGUAAGUCUGUUGGGGGUCAUCUACUGUAUCUGGUGCUCAUGCUGUGGCUUCCUAUAUAUUGGUAAGACCCGAUGUAGAUUAGAAGAACACUUCACCGAGCACCUACGUUCCAUCCGUCAAAAAAGGAGGGUCUCCCAGUAGCCACCCAUUUUAAUUCUACUUCCCAUUCCCAUUCCGACAAGUCAGUCCAUGGCUUCCUCUACAGACACGAUGAGGUCACACUCACGUUGGAAGAGCAACGCCUUAUAUUGUCUAUAUAACCUCCAACCUGAUGGCGUGAACAUUGAUUUCUCGAACUUCUGGUAAUUUCUCCCCCACCUCCUUCCCAAGUCCCCACUUGUUUCCCUCUCUCAUCUCAUUACUUGCCAAUCACCCCCUCUGGUGCUCCUCUUCCUUCCCUUUCUUCCAGGUCUUCUAUGAUCAGAUUCUCCCUUCUCCAGCCCUUUAUCUCUUUCACCAAUCAACUUCCCAGCUUUUUACUUCACCCAUCCCCCUCUCCUGGUUUCACCUAUCACCUACUACCUUGUAUUUCUUCCUCCCCUCACCCCCAUUCUGACUCUGACCUCCCCUUUUUUACCAGUCCUAAUGAAGGGUCUCGGCCCAAAACAUUGACUGAUUACUCUUUUCCAUAGAUGCUGCCUGGCCUGCUGAGUUCCUCCAGCAUUUUGUGUGAGUUGAUGUAGUGGAAGAUACUCCCUAAAUUGUAACAAUCUAUAAUGUCCUGCAAAAUAAGAUGAUGAGGGCAGUGGAAAGUUGCCUGAUAUAAAAAUGAAUUCUGAUUUGGUUAGUGAUGAGGGAAGCAGUGAGAGGUCCCAUUUUUCCUGCUGAUACUACCUCAGUAUCCCCAUCUUACUGAACCAAUUAUCUCCCACUAAUACCCGCUCACUUGCUCUCUCCCCAGAGGAGACACCAAUUUCAUCUGCAGAAAAUUAAAUUCUUUAGUUCACCUCAGGGUGGUGGAUCACAGGAGAAUGUGCUUUAGAGGAGCACUGCAAACUAUGCCCCUCACUGCUCCUUACCAAAAUUUUCCAGUCCAACUUCUGUACCCAUUCAGCACAGAGUAACAUUAGAUCCACCCAACUUCAGAUUUUCUAACAAAAUGCCAGUAAUCUAAAAUGUUAAUAUAUAUCCCUCUCUCUUCAAUUGAGAUAAAUCAACAGUUUUUUUUCAUUUCUAAUGAGACCUGACAUCCAUCCUAAAAAGUGUGCAUAAGAUUUGGCCACAAUAUUAAAUACCUGUCACAUCGACCCCUAGCCUCCUCUGAAGUAUCAGACCUGUGCCAGUGGUUGUUGGGGAGGAUAAAAUAUACAAGGUAAUUUCAAUUUACUAUCAUAAAUAGGUUUGUAUAGUAGAGAGUAUCAGGAUUCCAGAGAAUUCUGUAACAGGGCAAUAGAACACUUUAGCACCCCAUCUUUCUUCUGAGCAUAAGCCAGCCUUCCAGAGUAAAUAUCAAAUUCAACAAUUUCAGGCAAUUCACUCACUCAUUUUAUAACGAGUGAUCAGUUCCACUGCAUCUGUGACAUUAAUUCUCUCCAAUAAUACCUGCCUGAUGUUAACUGCAUUUCAUACCUUUUACAUGUUCCUUUAUUUUCUUUCUAACUUUCCUCACUAACCUAACAACUUAUUGGCUUCAUCCAUAGCUUAUCAUUGUGGCAAGACUAACCACCCACUGUCAAAAGAGACACAAGUAACUGAUGGUGCUGUAACUUGGAGCAAAACAAAACUCAGCAGGUAGAGGAGCAUCCAUAGGGGUAAAGGAAUUAUCAACGUUUCAUGCUGAAACCCUGCAUCAUGAGUUCAAGGCAGCACAGUAGCGUAAUGGUUAGCACAACUAGCUGUAAGACUGAGGUUUGAUUCACGCCACUGUCUGUAAAGGUUUAUACGUUCUCCCUGUGACCACAUGGGUUUCCUCUGGGUGCUCCAGUUUCCUCCCACAUUCCAAAGUCUUACAGUUGAAUUGUGAACAUGCUAUGUUUGUGCCUUAAGCGUGGCAACACUUGCAGGAUGUCAGAUGUCCAAUACAACCUUCACUGAUUUGAUUUGAUGCAAAACGACACAUUUCACUGCAUGUUUCGAUGUACAUAUGACAAAUAAAGCCAAUCCUUAAUUUUAUAGAACAUAGAACAUUGAAUAGUACAGCACAGUACAGGCCCUUCGGCCCACAAUGUUGUGCCGACCCUCAAACCUUGCCUCCCAUAUAACCCCCCAUCUUAAAUUUCCCCAUAUACCUGUCUAGUGGUCUCUUAAAUUUCACUAGUGUAUCUGCCUCCACCACUGACUCAGCCAGUGUAUUCCACACACCAACCACUCUGAGUAAAAAACCUUCCUCUAAUACCCCCGUUGAACUUCCCACCCCUUACCUUAAAGCCAUGUCCUCUUGUAUUGAGCAGUGGUGCCCUGGGGAAGAGGCGCUGGCUAUCCACUCUAUGUAUUCCUCUUAAUAUCUUGUAUACCUCUAUUAUGUCUCCUCUCAUCCUCCUUCUCUCCAAAGAGUAAAGCCCUAGUUUCCUUUAUCUCUGAUCAUAAUCCAUACUCUCUAAACCAGGCAGCAUCCUGGUAAACUCGAGGAAAUCUGCAGAUGAUGGAAUUUCAAGCCACACACAUAAAAGUUGCUGGUGGCAGGCCAGGCAACCUGUUGCAUUCACCAGCAACUUUUAUGUGUGAGGCAUCCUGGUAAAUCUCCUCUGUACCCUUUCCAAUGCUUCCACAUCCUUCCUACAGAAACAUCAACAGAUCCUUUCCCCUGCAACUGCUGCUUGACCGACUGAGAUUUUCCAGCAGCUUGUCAGGUCCCAACCUGUCAAAGAUGCUUCCUAUCCAAGCUUCCCCAUUUCCAAUUCAAAACUAAUUUGAUUUCCCUUUUCCUUGCAUUUGAGGGCCAUGGUAACUCCCUUUCUACAGAUGCUGCUUGACCUGCUAAGUGUAUACAGCAUUCUCUAUUUUUAUUUAUUUAUAACACCAGGAGAUUUACCAUGGUGUUGUUUGAGGUGGAAUCAUUCAGUUGUGCACAGAAACUGGACAGGCUGGGUUUGUAGAAGCCUGGAAACCUUGGAUAUUUAUUCACCAAGAUAUCUAAUACCUCCUCCUUUUCCAUGACAAUUUGCUCCAGAAUUUCAUCAACCUUAACUGUCCCUGAAAUCUUUAACUACAAAGUCCUUCUCUAUUAUAAAUACAAAUGAAAAUAAAUCAUCUGGCUCCAGGCACAGAUUACCAGAUAGGCCCCAUGGUUUUCAAUGGAACUCACUUGACCUUAUCCACCAGUGCUAUUUUAUCUCCACUUCCUGUUCUCCUAUCUUUUCUUUGUUCCUCCACAGCCCCCUCCCACAAUCUUUAUACUCCUGAACGGCCUUCGCUUCAUUCAGAUUUCUGUACCCACCAUUGCCCACUUUAUUUUUCUUUAUUCAACUCCCAAAUAUUAUUUGACAUAUGAGCUUCUUUGGGUCUGCUGGCCCUAACAUUCAUCCCUAUAUGAACAAGUUCCAUGUUUUAAUUGUUGAAUGACUCUCACUGGUUGCACGUAGAGUUUCCUGCAAGUAGUUACAACUGUUUCAUUUUUCCCAGAUUUUGUUUUAUCAUUUAGAAGUCAGCUUUCCUGUAAGUUAGGACUUUGUUCCUUUUGUUAACAAUUUUAAUACCAACAGAGUUAUCGUCACUGUCUCUAAAAUGCUCUCGAACAGGAAAAUGAUGCUCUGGAGUGGCAUGUAUUCCGAGAGCACCUGCCUGGCUUUCUUCCUCUGCCUGGUGGUCAGUCAUUCCCUCCCUGCCUUUGUUCCUUAAGCUUUGAAGUUAAGUCUCAGCACUGUUAUGCCUUCAGGAAUCAAGAGAUCAAGCUGGUCAAACCAGUGACAUUCACUACAGAUGUGGUCAUCCCGACCACAAGGAAUGCUUCAGAAUUCCCAUAGGCUGCAAGUCAUACAAGACAUUAGGGAUCUUGCUUCCAGCCAAAGUUUUAAUGAAAAAGUUGAAUUAUCCCAUCAGCCCACCCUCAGCAACGCCGCUUCAUUCACUGCAGUCCACACUGGCAACUGCUGUGUACAUGCUGUGGUUUCUGAGCCUCUCUCUUCAAAAAUUCAAACAACAUUAGCCUAGUCAGCUGACUUCACUUUCUUUCAGAUAUAAGUUCUCAGUAGUUUUCACAGUAAACACUGAAGAACUGAUUGGCCCUUAAUUAACUGUUGAUUCAAGCAGCUUUUUAAGUUGAAGGAUGCCUAAAAAGUGAGAGAUCAUCAUAUUUGGUUGCAAGGCCAAGUUAACUUUUGAUUUAACUGAAGUAAUCUUAUACCCUGACAUUUGACUUAUAAGCAGCUUCACCUUGAUUUAGACUCACUACAUAAAAUCACCUCAUUGAUACCAGAACUCCAAAAGUGCAUAUAUUCAAAAGUGGAUUGCACUAUUAUCUUUCUGACACUUUCACUGAUAUAAACACUGUUACAGUGGUUCAGCCCGCACCACCACGAAUUGCUUAAAACACAGUUGUAAUGCAGCAGAAUGGCUGCACUAACCUCACAGAAUUCAAUGUUAUAGCACAAAAACAGCCAGCUCAAAACAGCUUACAAGCAGGUCUCUGUUCAAAAUCAGGACUUCCACAAAGAAACAUGGGUAACUAUCAGCAAAAGCAGGCUACUCCAUGGAAGUCAGCACCAAGAGCAGUUCACAAAAACCUGUAGUGCACUGCCAUCUGCUGGGAGACAGUCAGAAUUUUCAAUGACCAUGACAAAUAAAUCAGAAUAAUUACAUAUGUGAUAAUUAUUUAUAAAGUUAUCAACUAUAAAAAAAUAAAGGUUAUUUAAGUGUCCCUAUGCAGAAAAAUAGGGAUUGGCCAUUCUGAUGAAAGGCUCUGCCCAGAAGUGAAAUUAUAUUGAAUUGUUCUGCAAUAUAUUUAACACACACAGAUCCAAGUUCUUUUAUUGAAAUGGCCACAAGUUGGAUUUGGCCACAUUGUUUCAGUAUGCCUCUCACAAUACCCUCUCCAGUCCACAGGGGACUAGUGACACCCUAAUGCUGGUUCCCUUUACUGUAGCUUAGUUAACAGCAACCUUGUCCCCGAGUCAAAGUCUUUGGUUUUGUGAUCCGCCUGAGAACAGUAUACAAAAGAAUCUUGUUUGACAAUCUAGUCCAGCAGCAGGAUGUCACAGCGUCACGUUAAACUAACCCCUUCUGUUCUCUUCCAGAUCAAUGUAAAAGAUCACGUUGCAUAAUGUCAAAGAAAGUCAAAAGCAUUCUCUUCACUAAGAACAGAACAAAUAGAAGCAAGGGUAGUAAAGGACCAGUUGACCCUCAUGUUUGCUCCACCAUUUAAUAAAAACCUGAAGAUAUUUCAUGUCAGCACUGCAUUCCUGCACAAAAUCCAUGUCCGUUGAUUCAGGAGGAACUAAAAGCCUUCUGAUCUUUGUAACACAUGCAAAAUGCUGGAGGAACUCAGAGGCCAGACGGCAUCAAUGGAAAAGAGUAAACAGUCGACAAGUAAACCUGCUGAAGGGUGUCAACCCGAAAUGCUGUCUGUUUACGCUUUGCCAGAGGAGCUGCCUGACCUGCUGAGUUCCUUCAGUAUUUUGUGUGUGUUGCUUGGACUUAUAGCAUGGACAGAUAUUCUAGUCUCAGCCUACUGAUCUCAGUUCAGUGACUUGAGUCACCACACCCUCUUGGGAAGCAAGUUCCCAAGAUUUAACAGCAACUGAGUGCAGAAAGAAAGAGAGAGAGAGAGAGAUUCGAGUGUGAGAGUGUGAGAGUGCGUGUGCACGCUAGUUAGAAAACAAAGGUAAUGUUCCAUAUGGGAAAGGACAUACUAAGUAAGAGAUGAGAUCCAACAUAGGUAUGAAAUUGAAACUGUGUGGGGAAAGGGAGGUGCUUGAGGGAACACAUAGAGAUAGGAUUGCAAUCAACUGCUGGGGUUGGUGGAGCCAGAGAUAGGAUCCAUUAUGGUGGUGAGAAGUGGAGAGAUCACAUUACCUGGUCAGACUGAUGCCACUUAAGUUACAUAGAGGAUGGCAUCUUACAAAGUGGAGAUAAACUCCUCCAUGGACCAUGCAUAUGCAAAUGAAUUUUGUGGAGAUGGACAGAGUGAGGUGAAUACCUGGAAUGAAUUACCUCCACUGCUUAAAGAUGUGUUGCUUACCACAUUUAAGUAGUAUCUAGGAUUGCACUUGAAUCAGCUUAAGCAUAGAAAGCUCUCCCAGUCAGCAUGGACAAGCUGGGUCGAACGGCCUGCCAAGAAAACCAAGGUAGCAUGCCUGAACAACUGGCGCCCUGUCGCACUCACCUCAAUUUUAAGCAAAUGCUUUGAGAUGCUGGUUAAAGACAUCUGCAGCAUCCUACCAACCACACUGGACUGACGGAACCAGUCUACUGAUGAUGCCAUAGCCACACCACUACACAUCGUCCUCGCUCACCUGGAGAAGAGGGAUGCAUACGUUUGAAUGCUGUUCUUGGACUACAGUUCAGCAUUCAACACCAUAAUUCCCUCCAGACUUGACAGGAAGCUCAGAGACCUCAGCCUGCAUCCCACCUUGUGCAGCUGAAUCCUAGACCUCUUAUCGGAUCACCAACAGGUGGUAAGGACGGGCCCCUCAUUUCUGCCCCCCCAGGGUUGUGUCCUGAGUCCCCUUCUCUACUCCCUUUACACCCAUGACUGUACUGACACACACAGCUCCAAUUUGCUGAUCAAAUUCGCAGAUGACACGACUUUGAUCAGCCUUAUUUCUAGCGGUAAUGAGUCAGCCUGGAGGAGAGGUUGACACCCUGACACAGUAGUGCCAGGAUAACAACCUCUCCCUCAAUGUCAAAAAAGCCAGAGCUGAGUGUGGAUUACGGGACGAAUGGAGACAGGCUCGGCCGAUCAACAUCAAUGGUUCUGCAGUUGAGAGGGUGAGUAGUUUCAAGUUCCUCAGUAUACACAUCACCGCAGAUCUCACCUGGACUGUACACACUGGUUUUGUGGCAAAAAAAGCACAACAGCAUCUCUUCCACCUCAGGCGACUGAGGAAGUUCAGCAUGGACUCCCAAAUCCUCAAGAUCUUCUACAGGGUCACCAAUGAGAGUAUCCUGACUGGCUGUAUCACCGCCUGGUACAGGAAUUGCACAGCUGGGCACUGCAGAGAGUGGUAUGGGCAGAAUGGGCAUUUGUGGGUGUGAACUUCCCUCAUUUGAGGACAUUUAUAGCAGCAGGUGCAGAAAGGCGGCCUGGAGAUAAUCGGGGACACAAAUCACCCCAACCAUAAACGGCUUCAACUGCUUCUGUCUGGCAAACAGCUCCACACCAUUAAAGCCAUGACCAACAGGCUACAGGACAGCUUCUUUCCACAAGCCACUAGACUUUUAAAUUCACAUGUCCGUACAUUGCAACAGAGUCAUAACACAAAGAUGUUUACUCCCUCAUGUUCUGUGAUAGAUGUAAGAUUUAAAUAAACUCUAAUUCUAACUCCACGCUGUACGAUUCUACGACUCUAUGAGAAACACAGAAACAUAGAAAACCUACAGCACAAUACAGGCCCUUUGGCCCACAAUGUUGUGCCGAACAUGUCCCUACCUUAGAAAUUACUAGGGUUACCUAUAGCCCUCUAAUUUUUCUAAGAAAUGUGUGUUCAAGCAGCUAUAAACAAAAGGGCAAUAUAUCCCCAAAGUUCUUCAAACAAUUGGCUAUCCCAAUACAUGAUCAAGUUAGAGAAUCAUAGUACAGCAUGGAAUAAGGCCCUUUGGCUCAUACUUGUCCAUGUCAACCAAAUGUAUAUUCAAAUUAAUGCCAAUUCCUAACACUUGGCCAUAUCCCACUUUCCAACUUAGUUAAUCUUUCCUAUAACAUGGUGACCAAAACUGAACACAAUACUACAAGUGUGGUCUCAUCAGCAUCUUGUACGAUUGCAACAUAACCUCCCAACUUCUAUAUUUGGUGCCCUGACUGAUGAAGGCAGCAUGCCAAGGGCUUACAUCACCACCUUGACCACUGGUGAUACCAUUUAAGAGAACUGUGUACCUGUACUCUGUACCCAUUUUACAACUGUAUCCAGGAGCCUUACAUUCAAUGUAAAAAUCCUACCUUGAUUUACCUUUCUAAAACAUAACACUCCACACCUGAAUUAAUUUCCAUUUGCCAUUCCUCCACCUACUCACCCAGUUGAUCUUGAUACUCAUCUUCACUGUGUGACACCAUCUACUUUCAUGUCAUUUGCAAACAUAUUAACUAUUCCUCAUAUAUUCUCAUCCAAAUCAUUAAUACAGAAUACAAUUAGCAAAUGGCCCAGUGCUUUCAGUCCUCAGUCUGAGAAGUAUUAUCCUGUUUUUAUUAUCCACUUUUAUCCUGUUUCCUACCACGCAAACAAUUUUGUAUCCAGUUUGCUAGCUAUGCAAUCUAACCUUCCAGAGCAGCCAACCAAACAAAACCUUACCAAAACUCUUACUGAAAUCCAUAUAUACGACAUCUACUACCUACCCUUCAUGUCAAUCUUUUCCUCACUUCAUCAAAAACUUAAAUCAAAUUUGUAUCACAAAAUCUCCCAUGCAUGAAGCCAUGCUGGCUACCCGUAAUCAAUCUUUGCUUUUCCAGAUGUAAGAAAUUUUGUCCCUCAGAAUGCUUUCCAGCAAUUCAUCUACUACAGACAUUAGGCUAAUGGGUCAACAAAUACCAAGACUUUUAAUUAUAGUCUUUUUUAAAUAAAGGCACAUUUGCUAUCCUCUAGUUUUCCAGCUCUCACUAGAUGUUACAAAUAUCUCAGUGAGCGCUCUCACAAUUUCUUCUCUAGCUUCCCAUAAUGUUGUUGGUUAUACAAUAUAAUCAUGUAACAUAUAACAAUUACAGCACGGAAACAGGCCAUCUCGGCCCUUCUGGUCCGUGCCGAACUCUACUCUCAUCUAGUCCCACCAACCUGCACUCAGCCCAUAACCCUCCAUUCCUUUCCUGCCCAUAUAUCUAUCCAAUUUAACUUUAAAUGACAACAUCGAACCUGCCUCAACCACUUCUGCUGGAAGCCCGUUCCACACAGCUACCACUCUCUGAGUAAAGAAAUUCCCCCUCAUGUUACCCCUAAACUUUUGCCCUUUAACUCUCAACUCAUGUCCUCUUGUUUGAAUCUCCCCGCGUCUCAAUGGACAAUACCUUGUCCAGAUCUGGAGAUUUAUAUAUCUUCCUAAACAUUAACACAUACUCUUCUGUAAAAUGAACUGUUCCCAAAACAUCUCUACUCACAUUGUCAGGCUCUCAAGUCUUCACAUUUCUUCAUGGUAAAAUAGAGGAAAAAUAAUCAUUGAGAACUCUGCCUGCUCCAGUCUUGGAUUUCUGGUCUCUGAAGGUCACUGUUCCCUCUAAGCUGCGCGGAUGUGCAACUCCACAGUAACUGAAAUGCUCCCAUAUGUAGCCUUUGUUGCUGCACAGCUAGAAUUUUCUUUUAUGUAAUGUUAAUAGUGAAAUAUCCUGUAAUUAUGUGUUAAUGAAUAUUUUCUAAAUAUUAAACAUUUGAGACAUUUUAGAGCUUCAACAUUUUUAUAUUGUGUUUCAAGUUACAACAUUGUUACAAAUUGUAACGAUAAACACGGAAUGGAAGGCGAAACAAGACACCCAGAAUGCUGGAGGAACUCAGCAGGCCAGGCAGCAUCUGUGGAAAAAAGUACAGUACUGUACUUUUUUUCCAUAGAUGCUGCCAAUCUGCUGAGUUCCUUCACCAUUUUGGGUGUGUGAUUGGAUUUCCAGCAUCUGCAGAUUUUCUCUUAUUUAUGGAAGUCGUACGCUCAUUGUUAAUAAUCCGCCGCUUCACUGAAUGCCGACACCAUUUACUUGUGUUGGACUUAUGGUUUAUGGUUGCUUGAUGUGAAAAAUUCUAUACUGUAUUCUGACAUCGCUGUGACAUUUCAAGCUUCUAGUGCUGACUACAAACUUGGAUUUAGUCUUAUGAAUUCAGUCAAAUGUAAAUCCAGACACAGACUAGAAGUUGAACAUUUGGUUGAUCUAUUAAGGAUUACAAUAUGUUUUUCACUUAAAUGAAAAAUUAACCUGGUCAGUGUGUGAGACCCUCCUCUUGUCGGGGUCAACCAUGGAUAUUGCAUCCUAGCUGUCUACAUGAUACGCAAGCCAGCACAUACACCAGGGUGGUACAAUAUGGAGAGCAAGCUGUUGCCCAUGUAACAAGCUCCCCCUCUCCAUAGCUGAUGAAUCCAAAGAAACGGCAGAGACCAAUACAGUUUGGCACCAGCAGCGUCACAGGAGUAGCCAGUCAGCAUUGAAUUCAAAGUAGGACUGCUUUUGGUACUUCAGCUCUAGGUUUUUCUUCGGGGUUUACUCCCGAAACCUUCUUCAUGAGUGGGCAUAGCCAUAAGGCAGUGGAGGUUUGUGAUGAACUGCCAGCCACUGCUGAUGAACACCUUCUGCCUGAAACAAAUGGUUUUAAGGCACCAGUAACCCAUCUUUACCCCUUCUCUUGUCAGAAAUAGUUCCGCCAGACUUAGUAGCUAAGUCACAUGUGAAGGCCAGGAGCUGAACUUGGUUGUCAGAGGCUAUUUGAGGUGCACGCCAUUGAGAGCAUUUAAUAGGUAGUGGAAGCUUACCCCAUUACCACACCCAGCUAUUAGAACUUUAAGGAACAGUGUUUAUAGACAGUGGAUUUGUAAUAAAGACAGACGAGAAAAAGUUUACAAAAUGUAAAAGUUUUUUUGUUGUACUGUAUUUCAUUAUACUCUUCAGUUAAUAAAUAAAAUCAAAAGUAUGCAAUUUUUCAAUUUUCAUUCUAAAUAUUCAUAGUAUGCAUAUUGCAAAAAAAUUUCAUUUUAAAUGCCGAGCAGUUUUCAGGCUGUGUAAAUAUUUCCUGCUCAGAGCAAUGGUUUGUUCAUGCAGUUGUAAACCAAAAUAUAGGGGAAACUUUGCUGAGGGACCUUAUUUUCCCUUUAUAUACUUUAAAAAUCUUUUGGGAUUCUCCUUAAUUUUCUCUGCAAACCCACCUCAUGGCCCAACACUGCCCUCUUAAUUUCACUUUUGCAUAUAUUCCAGCAUCCUCUCUAUAUUUCCAAUGGCUCACUUGAUUCCAGCUGUCUGUAUCUGACCCAAGCCUCUUUUUAUUCUUGAGCAGAGUUACAAUAUCCCUUAAUAUCCAAGGUUUCCUACUCCCAGCACCUUUGCCUUUUCUCCUCCACAGAUUGUCACCUCGUCAUGGUGGAGAAACUUGUGUGGUCCUGUGAUCCCAAGAGCAAUGCCCUCUGGAGCUAUGCUCCUGAUAAGGUCACCCAUGGUGGUAAGGUCGAGGGUGAGGUCCCUGUGGAACAGGUGGACGAAGUUCCUUCGAAUUCAACGGCUGUGAAGGCAGAUGAAGGCUGUAACAAAUCCAUCAGCUCCAAUCGCCGUGGUUUCCAUGCCAUUGGAAUCAGUUGGUUGAUUUGUGAAGUAUCGUGUGCUUCUUGGAGUGCAACAUCAAGUACACGUUAAACAAAUACAUGCACAGAUGUCUUCACUCUGUGGGCCACUUCUUCAGAACGAAGACCAUUAUCCUUGAUCUCGAGGGAUAGCCACGACGACGACCUUUGCCUUUCACCUUAAUAGGAACAUGAAUAAAAGCAGAAUCUUUCUGCAUCUCAGACAUUUGUGGAAAGAGGAAAAGUUAAGGCCUGAGCUCAAAGGCCCUUGAGCAGAACUGAGAAAGAAAGAAGUUAGUCAGUCAAGAUAUCAGAGAAGGUAGGAGACCACAAUGGGUGGAACAAAGGAAAUUCCACUUAUUGUUAAAAUUACAUGGCACUUAAAAUCAAAUUAAGCUUCUUUGUCUGUGUAAUGUUGUUAAUGUUGUACAAUCUCACCCACUGUGACAAGCCCAGCAGACCAGAUACUUUUUAUAUAAUAAAAAAGGCAAGCAAUAAUGACCACUUCCAUACAAACAAAGAGACAGAGCAAAUUAUCUAAAAUUGAACAACAUUACAUUGAGUACUGCAGGCUGUAAUAUGAGGUAUCAUUCCUUGAGUUUGCAUUGGACUUUAUUGUGACAUUUUAGGAGGCAGCACACAGACAGAAAUGUCAGAGUAGGAGUAAAGCUCAGGUUUACUCUUGCAGACUGAGUGGAUGGGUGGAGAAAAACAACCACACAAUCCAGACUUGUUUUCUCCAGUUUAGAAAUGCAAACACUCUGUAGUGUACAUUGGUUUGGAUGGAGUGCAAGUGAAACACUUCUCCACUGAAAAAGACUGCCUGAAUCCCAGAUAAUGAAAAGGGAAGAUGUGAAAGUAUGGGUGUUGCAACUCCCUCCUCCAAUGUACCAGAAAGCACACUGAUAGCUGAGGAGUGGACCAAGAGACUAUAAAGAAAGCAAUUCCAAUAAAAUGCUGAAAGCAUAUCCGGUGAUGGAAUCUUGUUGGAACCAACAGACAUUCCCUAGAAUUUUCUUUAUUUUAUUACUGGGUGUCUUAAUCUGCUUUAAUUUAGAUUUCCAAAAUCUAGGAUUUUAGAAUUAUUUAUUCUUUAAAAUAAUGUUGUUUAAUGGAUAACAGAGAAAUCUAUAAUUGUAAAAACACAAAACUAGGAAGAUGACUAAUGUAAAAUAAGAUCUGGGGAUGGAAGAGAUGUCACAGAGGUAUUUACAGACUUUGUAUAAGUCUUAACAGUUGCAGCAAAAACUAGGUCAAGAUUUAAUUAAAUAAAUGGAUGUGGGGAGAGAGGAAGCAAAUGGGCCAUGGAAUAUGUUCAGCAAUUAGGAUUAGGAUUUUUUUAUUUGAAGAUUAAAUGUCAUCAUAACGGUAUUGUCUGCAUUUUCUGUUGUCAUAAUACAACUCUAUGCAUUCUAUAAAAUAACUUUGAUUUUAUUUUAACUCUAAAUCACUUCCAGUUUAAGAUGGUGCUACUGAAGAUGUGACAGCUCACUGGUAGUUUGAAAGCAAAGGAAUUCAGUAAGAGCCAUUAUUAACACUUUUUAUCACCGCAAGCAAUGAAGAAAUGAGCAAGGGCAAAGUGAAUUUGCAGGAAGUACCCUGCUGUUGCGCUGCAAAAUCGACACAUUUAGAGUUCAAGCCAUGCUGGUUGGAAUGAAUGAUACAGAGGGGAGAAGAUGGGACAGAAGAGUUGCGAUGCUCAUUCAACUAACCUUGCUAUGGGAGUUGGGGAUCGCUCUAAACAUCAAGCCAAAUUGGAGAGGUCAAGAAUGGCUUCUUCAGCAGUGAAAUCCAAGUCCAAAGCAAUUUGAUGGGAGGUGUGUUGAAAGCCCAGAGCGACUCACUGCAGCCAGGCCUGGGUCCUAAUGCAAAGUACAAUCCAUUGUUUGGAUAAUCUAAAUGUCGGUCCAUAUAGACUGGAAAGGCAGGGUGUCAAGAGAUGGACGAGGUUGGAUCGCUCAGGGUGCUAAGCCAAUUUGGAGAGGUCAAGAACGUCUCCCUCAGCAGCAAAAUCUAGGUCAGGAGUGAUUCGCCGGCGGCAGGGCCCAGCUCCUAGUGUGAAAUUCAGACAAUUGAAAUGCCAGCCCAGAUAGACUGGGGCACCUCCCUCUGCGACACUAACGUUGUGAAACUGCCCCCAUUGCUGCACUUCAUGUCUGCGAACUCUGCGGCCAUUUGUGCUACUAAUAUACUGAACUUAACACUGAGGCUAUGGGCCAACUCCAGGCUGCUCCAAGGACACAAUUUGGUUCAGAAUGCUGUUGUUGGUGUUUAUAUGAUUUGUUUUGUGUUUUUUUCUGUCUCUGUGAGCAAAGGGAGGGGCGAUUGGUCUUUUUUUUUUAAAUUGGGUUCUUUCGAGUUCCUUGCUUUGCAACUGCCUUUAAGCAAGCAAAUCUCAAAGUUGUAUAAUGUAUACAUUCUUUGAUAAUAAAUCCACUUGAUUAUGCAUAAGCAAUUUUAUUAAGAGAAUCUUUAUUGAAGCAAGAAGCUCAUACUAUUAUUUUCUCACAAAUCAAUGGCAGGACAAAUUAUUACAUAGAUUAUACCAGCGGUCCCCAACCUCCGGGCCAUGAGGAAACGAUACGAGUCAGCUGCACUAUCACGCACCGUUGAACUUGAACAUAGGGUUGCCAACUGUCCCAUAUUAGCCAGGACAUCCCGUACAUUGGGCUAAAUUGGUUUGUCUUGUAUUUCCCCCGCUAAGGUAGAGCAUUCCUAUGAAAC